rnacentral:misc_RNA from 1 species
UUGAUUUAUUUAUCAAGUUUUUUUCAGACUUCAAAUUAUCAAGAGUUGAGCGGUCCUUCGGCGGGCGCAAAUCCGCUUUCUGAGGGCCGAUGUCCUUUUUCCGUUUUUAAAACAAAAAGAGGACGGCCCGCCGAAGCUGCUUAUCAGCAUAUAAUACACAAGGGUGGGGGGAGGAGUCAGAGUUAACUGACGCACUCGGUAAUGAUCCUUCCGCAGGUUCACCUACGGAAA